rnacentral:rRNA from 1 species
GACGAACGCUGGCGGCGUGCUUAACACAUGCAAGUCGAACGGAAAGGCCUGCUUUCCCUUGUGGAUUGCGGGUACUCGAGUGGCGAACGGGUGAGUAACACGUGAGUGAUCUGCCCCCAACUUGGGUAUAAGCCUGGGAAACUGGGUCUAAUUCCCGAUAGGACUGCAGGGUGGUGCCUGUGGUGGAAAACGAUUUUCUAGUGGUUGGGGAUGAGCUCGCGGCCUAUCAGCUUGUUGGUGGGGUAAUGGCCUACCAAGGCGGCGACGGGUAGCCGGCCUGAGAGGGUGGACGGCCACAUUGGGACUGAGAUACGGCCAAGACGCCUACGGGAGGCAGCAGUGGGGAAUAUUGCACAAGGGGCGGAAGCCUGAUGCAGCGACGCCGCGUGGGGGAUGACGGCCUUCGGGUUGUAAACUCCUUUCGACCGCGAGGAAGCCACCUGGUUGGAAGGGUGGUGACGGUAGUGGUAGAAGAAGCACCGGCUAACUACGUG